CUUGGUCAUUUAGAGGAAGUAAAAGUCGUAACAAGGUCUCCGUUGGUGAACCAGCGGAGGGAUCAUUACCGAGUUUACAACUCCCAAACCCACUGUGAACCUUACCUAUCGUUGCUUCGGCGGGCUAGCCCUGGCGCCUCCCCGGCACCAGAUAUCAGGCGCCCGCCGGGGGUCCGAAACUCUUGCUUUAUUAGUGGUUUUCUCUCCGAGUGGCACAAGCAAAAUGAAUCAAAACUUUCAACAACGGAUCUCUUGGUUCUGGCAUCGAUGAAGAACGCAGCGAAAUGCGAUAAGUAAUGUGAAUUGCAGAAUUCAGUGAAUCAUCGAAUCUUUGAACGCACAUUGCGCCCGCCAGUAUUCUGGCGGGCAUGCCUGUCCGAGCGUCAUUUCAACCCUCAAGCCCCUCCGGGGACUUGGCGUUGGGGAUCGGCCCCGCAUGCGGAGCCGGCCCCGAAAUCUAGUGGCGGCCACGCCGCUGCCCCCUCUGCGUAGUAGAAAACACCUCGCACUUGGGAAGCGGCGCGGCCACGCCCCGUCCGUCCAUGAGACAUCUUCAAGGUUGACCUCGGAUCAGGUAGGAAUACCCGCUGAACUUAAGCAUAUCAAUAAGCGGAGGA
rnacentral:rRNA from 1 species